rnacentral:rRNA from 1 species
UACAGAGGUCUCAAGCGUUGUUCGGAUUCAUUGGGCGUAAAGGGUGCGUAGGCGGCGCGGUAAGUCGGGUGUGAAAUCUCGGAGCUUAACUCCGAAACUGCAUUCGAUACUGCCGUGCUUGAGGACUGGAGAGGAGACUGGAAUUUACGGUGUAGCGGUGAAAUGCGUAGAUAUCGUAAGGAAGACCAGUGGCGAAGGCGAGCUACUGGACAACAUCUGACGCUGAGGCUCGAAGGCCAGGGGAGCAAAAGGG